rnacentral:rRNA from 1 species
AGAGUUUGAUCCUGGCUCAGAUUGAACGCUGGCGGCAGGCCUAACACAUGCAAGUCGAACGGUAGCACAGAGGAGCUUGCUCCUUGGGUGACGAGUGGCGGACGGGUGAGUAAUGUCUGGGAAACUGCCUGAUGGAGGGGGAUAACUACUGGAAACGGUAGCUAAUACCGCAUAACGUCGCAAGACCAAAGAGGGGGACCUUCGGGCCUCUUGCCAUCAGAUGUGCCCAGAUGGGAUUAGCUAGUAGGUGGGGUAAUGGCUCACCUAGGCGACGAUCCCUAGCUGGUCUGAGAGGAUGACCAGCCACACUGGAACUGAGACACGGUCCAGACUCCUACGGGAGGCAGCAGUGGGGAAUAUUGCACAAUGGGCGCAAGCCUGAUGCAGCCAUGCCGCGUGUAUGAAGAAGGCCUUCGGGUUGUAAAGUACUUUCAACGGGGAGGAAGGCGAUACGGUUAAUAACCGUGUCGAUUGACGUUACCCGCAGAAGAAGCACCGGCUAACUCCGUGCCAGCAGCCGCGGUAAUACGGAGGGUGCAAGCGUUAAUCGGAAUUACUGGGNNUAACGNNCACGCAGNCGGUCUGUCAAGUCGGAUGUGAAAUCCCCGGGCUCAACCUGGGAACUGCAUUCGAAACUGACAAGCUAGAGUCUUGUAGAGGGGGGUGGAAUUCCAGGUGUAGCGGUGAAAUGCGUANANAUCUGGAGGAACACCGAGUGGCGAAGGCGGCC